UCGAGGGGAUAAUACCAUUGCCUCCGAAAUAUGCAGUGCUGGUUCGAGCCCGGGACCCUGCAAAGAUUAGUGUUUGAAGUUUUUCUCUUGCACUAGCACCUGUUUGAAAGGGUUUUUCUUUUUUUUCCCCUUCUUCUUCUAAUGACGUCAUCACAAAAAGACUAUAAAAGGCGUCAUGAACGCGACGCUCAUUCUGGCACUCACCACUGACAGCGAGAGCCACGUUGCUCUGGUCCACCUGCUGCGCCGGCCGUACAACAGCGUGUAAAAGUGACAAGCGUCUAGUUGCACUUUGGGCGUGCUUCCAUCUUGCAAGCUCAAACGUUUGCAGAAGCUAGCGUUAGCAGUUAACAUCUCCAACGACCACCAAAACGCAUUUAUCUGGCGUGCAACCAAACAAAGUAAGCAGUUAACUGUGGCAACGUCUGGACGACAGCGCCGUUUGGCCGAAGGUGCAAACCCUCAAAACGAGCCCGUCAUGGCCGACUGACUUCGCCUGCAUCUGGAACCGAGGGAACAGGCUGACUGCAAAAUGGCA